AGGAGGGCGGGGUGCGCGAGCGAGGGCGUCCGGCCGGCAGGUGGCACUGUGGCGUCGCCGUGGGCCGAGCCUGGCGAAGCGCUGCUCGCCCGAGAUCGCGCAGCUUGAUCAAAUGAAAAGACGAGAAAACAGCUUCUAUCACCAUGACAGCCACCUGGACACACCUAUCUCUGUUGGCAAGGGGGAGCAUUUGGAAAAUGGAAGUGCUUGGUCCCCAACAGAUGCCUACUUGACACUUGCUGAUGGACAGCUUGUCAAUUUCAUCUAACAAACCGGAAUCACUGGGGCCAUCCAGGAAUCACAGCAGCUCAUGAAGAAAUUCCACAUGAACAGGGCUGUUAAAAGCCAACCCGCCAGAAAGGGUAGAACGGAGGAAGGACAAGAGGGUUCUAACACCUCCUGGAGGCAGAGCACCCACGGAAGUUUCUCAACACUUCUCGUUGAUUCAAGUGGAAGUGAGUAAAUUCCCUGACAUCCCUACCGCUUCUCUGCCUCUAGGGUAGUAAAAACAAAAACACAGCUCGUAAGACAGGGUGGAGAAGGCAGAGAGGCUUCUUUCUGAUUUAAGCUAACUCUACGGUUGUGACAUGUAACAAAA
rnacentral:lncRNA from 1 species